rnacentral:rRNA from 1 species
CAGUCGCCACGGGAACACGAGGGGGGCAAGCGUUGUUCGGAUUUAUUGGGCGUAAAGGGUGCGUAGGCGGUUUGGCAAGUCUUGUGUGAAAUCGAUGGGCUCAACCCAUCGUCUGCACGAGAAACUACCGGGCUUGAGUGGUGGAGAGGUGAGUGGAAUUUCCGGUGUAGCGGUGAAAUGCGUAGAUAUCGGAAGGAACACCUGUGGCGAAAGCGGCUCACUGGACACUAACUGACGCUGAGGCACGAAAGCUAGGGGAGCAAACAGGAUUAGAUACCCCCGUAGUCCCUGUCUCUUAUAA